rnacentral:rRNA from 1 species
GUUGACCUCGGAUCAGGUAGAUACCSGCUGAACUAGCAUAUCAAUAAGCGGAGGAAAAGAAACCACCGGGAUUGCCUCAGUAACGGCGAGUGAAGCGGCAACAGCUCAAAUUUGAAAUCUGGCCUCUGCGGGGCCCGAGUUGUAAUUUGCAGAGGUGCUUCGGGCGCGGCGCCGGUCUAAGUUCCUUGGAACAGGACGUCAUAGAGGGUGAGAAUCCCGUAUGCGACCGACGAUCAACCCCGGUGAAGCCCCUUCGACGAGUCGAGUUGUUUGGGAAUGCAGCUCUAAAUGGGUGGUAAAUUUCAUCUAAAGCUAAAUACUGGCCAGAGACCGAUAGCGCACAAGUAGAGUGAUCGAAAGAUGAAAAGCACUUUGAAAAGAGAGUCAAACAGCACGUGAAAUUGUUGAAAGGGAAGCGCUUGCAAUCAGACCUGUGCGCGGGCGAUCAUCCGUUAUUCGUAGCGGUGCACUCGACCGCGGUCAGGCCAGCACGGGUUCGAGCGGCGGGAGAAAGCGCCCGGGAAUGUAGCUCCCUUCGGGGUGCCUUAUAGCCCGGGCGGCCAUGCCGCCCGCCCGGACCGAGGACCGCGCUUCGCUAGGUGCUGCUAAUGUGCACG